ACACUUUUCUUAUGGCUUUCUAUUAUCGCCUUAUGGUUAACCAACCAAUCCAUACCAAGAAUAACAUCGAAUUCUUUUAACCUUAUCAGUACCAAAUCUAUCGAUAACUUAUUCCCUCUAAUAUCUACGCAACAAUCCUUAUGAAUAUGUUCAAUGGGGAUUAUCUCUUCGUUUGCUACCUUAACGUCUAAAUGUAUUGGUAACU
rnacentral:lncRNA from 1 species